rnacentral:rRNA from 1 species
AUUGAACGCUGGCAGCAGGCCUAACACAUGCCAGUCGAGUGAGCGGCGGACGGGUGAGUAAUGCCUGGGAAUUGCCCAGUCGAGGGGGAUAACAGUUGGAAACGACUGCUAAUACCGCAUACGAUUGGAUUGCCCAUGUGGGAUUAGAUAGUUGGUUAGGUAAUGGCUCACCAAGGAGACGAUCCCUAGCUGGUCUGAGAGGAUGCUCAGCCACACUGGAACUGAGACACUGUCCAGACCCCGACGGGAGUCAGCAGUGGGGAAUCUUGCACAAUGUGGGAAACCCUGAUUCAGCCAUGCCGCGUGUGUGAAGAAGGCCUUCGGGUUGUAAAGCACUUUCAUCGAGGAGGCGUUACUCGCAGAAGAAGCACCGGCUAACUCCGUGCCAGCAGCCGCGGUAAUUC